UGGGGAAUAUUGCGCAAUGGGGGAAACCCUGACGCAGCGACGCCGUGUGAGGGAAGAAGGCUUUCGGGUCGUAAACCUCUGUCAGAAAGGAAGAACCUCCCAAGUCCGAAUAGGGCUUGGGACUGACGGUACUUUCAAAGGAAGCACCGGCUAACUCCGUGCCAGCAGCCGCGGUAAUACGGAGGGUGCAAGCGUUAAUCGGAAUCACUGGGCGUAAAGCGCGCGUAGGCCGCUUUGUAAGUCGGACGUGAAAGCCCUCGGCUCAACCGGGGAACUGCGUUCGAUACUGCGAGGCUUGAGUCCUGGAGAGGGUGGCGGAAUUCCGGGUGUAGGAGUGAAAUCCGUAGAUAUCCGGAGGAACACCGGUGGCGAAGGCGGCCACCUGGACAGGUACUGACGCUG
rnacentral:rRNA from 1 species